GACGAACGCUGGCGGCGUGCUUAACACAUGCAAGUCGAACGGUGAUGCUCCAGCUUGCUGGAGUGGAUCAGUGGCGAACGGGUGAGUAACACGUGAGCAACCUGCCCCAGACUCUGGAAUAAGCGCUGGAAACGGCGUCUAAUACUGGAUACGAAACUGGCCCGCAUGGGCAUGGUUUGGACAGUUUUUCGGUUUGGGAUGGGCUCGCGGCCUAUCAGCUUGUUGGUGAGGGAAUGGCUCACCGAGGCGACGGCGGGUAGCCGGCCUGGGAGGGCGGCCGGCCCCACUGGGACUGAGAGAGGGCGCAGAGGCGAACGGUAGGCAGCAGGGGGGAAUCUGGCACAGUGGGCGAAAGCCUGAUGCAGCGACGCCGCGUGAGGGAUGACGGCCUUCGGGUUGUAAACCUCUUUCAGCAGGGAAGAAGCGAAAGUGACGGUACCUGCAGAAGAAGCACCGGCUAACUACGUG
rnacentral:rRNA from 1 species